rnacentral:rRNA from 1 species
UACGAAGGGGGCUAGCGUUGUUCGGAUUUACUGGGCGUAAAGCGCACGUAGGCGGAUCUUUAAGUCGGGGGUGAAAUCCCGGGGCUCAACCCCGGAACUGCCUUCGAUACUGGGGAUCUUGAGUCCGGAAGAGGUGAGUGGAACUCCUAGUGUAGAGGUGGAAUUCGUAGAUAUUAGGAAGAACACCAGUGGCGAAGGCGGCUCACUGGUCCGGUACUGACGCUGAGGUGCGAAAGCGUGGGGAGCAAACAGG